rnacentral:rRNA from 1 species
UACAGAGGUCUCAAGCGUUGUUCGGAUUCAUUGGGCGUAAAGAGCGUGUAGGCGGCCAGGUAGGUCGGUUGUGAAAACUGGAGGCUCAACCUUCAGACGUCGAUCGAAACCAUCUGGCUAGAGUCCGGGAGAGGAGAGUGGAAUUCCUGGUGUAGCGGUGAAAUGCGCAGAUAUCAGGAAGAACACCCGUGGCGAAAGCGGCUCUCUGGAACGGUACUGACGCUGAGACGCGAAAGCGUGGGGAGCGAACAGG